GAUUAACGCUGGCGGCGUGCAUAACACAUUCAAGUCGAACGGAUGUAGCAAUACAUUAGUGGCGGACGGGUGAGUAACGCGUGAGUAAUCUACCUUUCGGUGCGGAAUAACAACCGGAAACAGUUGCUAAUACCGCAUAAGAUAGUAGUACUGCAUGGUACAGCUAUCAAAGGCUUGCUGCCGAAAGAUGAGCUUGCGUCCGAUUAGAUAGUUGGCGGGGUAAAGGCCCACCAAGUCGACGAUCGGUAGCCGGACUGAGAGGUUGAACGGCCACAUUGGAACUGAGAUACGGUCCAGACUCCUACGGGAGGCAGCAGUGGGGAUAUUGGGCAAUGGGCGAAAGCCUGACCCAGCGACGCCGCGUGAGGGAAGAAGAUCUUCGGAUUGUAAACCUUAGUCAACAGGGAAGAAGAAAGUGACGGUACCUGUGGAGGAAGCCACGGCUAACUACGUG
rnacentral:rRNA from 1 species